rnacentral:rRNA from 1 species
GACAGAGGGUGCAAACGUUGCUCGGAAUCACUGGGCGUAAAGCGCACGUAGGCGGAUCUUUAAGUCAGAGGUGAAAUCCCAAGGCUCAACCUUGGAACUGCCUUUGAUACUGGGGAUCUUGAGUCCGGGAGAGGUGAGUGGAACUGCGAGUGUAGAGGUGAAAUUCGUAGAUAUUCGCAAGAACACCAGUGGCGAAGGCGGCUCACUGGCCCGGUACUGACGCUGAGGUGCGAAAGCGUGGGGAGCAAACAGG